AAUGCCUCUUUUCUUCACCCAAUCGUUUCUUCUCCCCACCCAUCUCCUCUCUUCUCAUCGCCACCCAACGACGUCGAUCAUCCUCCUUGCACCAUCGUCGACCACUGUGGCUUGUCGUCGGACGCUGAUCGCCGCACACUGCCCCUCUCCCAAUCUCCCUUCUCCUUUCUUCGUCUCUGCUCCUCAUCACUCCGCGAGGCUUUCUUUGAUCUCGUCGACGUCGAGCUCUUUUCGACCUAGCCACCGGUCGCGGGAGAGCAUGCCACUGCCUCUCCUUCCUCUCGAAUACAUUGAGGCGUUGUUUCACCGCGCAAUCAGCCAGAUCCUCUCUUCCCUAGACACGAUUAGCAUUGUCGCGCCAUUGUCGUUGCUAGGGUUGAGCCACCGGCCUCCCCUCAGCCUUGAUGUUGCUCCACCUUUCUGCCCCUCUCGUGCUCUAGCUACGCUACUCCGAUUGCCACUAUGUGUUUUCAUCAUCGACGUCAUCCCUUCCAGCGUGCGCGAUCGGCAGCCAGGGCCAGCCACUGCCAACGCUGAGCCCUUCUCCUUGGAGCAGCCACCUUGUUCUUUUCUCCACCCACGAGAGGUUGUGGGUUGCAGAUCUAAUCCGUAGCAUUUCAGCAUUUGUUGAGUUUCGGCCAGCAAGCAUUGAUUUGUGGUAUUUGAGAUAGAGGCAGCAACUACACUCGACUUCGACUGUAAUUCUUGGCAGCCAACAUCUUCAGCUUUGGAUCAACAACGAUGCAUCCAAAUUUAGGUAGAUGAUCAAGCAGUUGCUUGGAGGUAUUCUGUCUGCCAGUCCCACGUCACAUUGGAAGAUGAUUUAUCUCACAUCAUGAUUUCUUUUCAUAUAUUCUUUAUUGUUUAGCAUUAUAAUGGUAUUUAGCCAUGUGGCCAUUUUAUUAUUUUUGGUGUUGUAUAAGUUCGACUUUAUUUUGGAGUUUGCUAUGUGGAGUUGUCUUUGUUUUGUUGUGGUUGUGUAAGCCUAGCCGGCUAGCAGUCUAUGUGUUGUUUUUAUUUGUAUGAGCUUUCUUUUGUUUUUGCUAUGUUUUUAGUAUAGUCGUGUGAGUUGUUUAGUAUAUAUAUAAUUGUAUAGUUGUGUUUUUA